rnacentral:rRNA from 1 species
UGGGGAAUUUUGCACAAUGGGGGAAACCCUGAUGCAGCGACGCCGCGUGAUUUAGAAGGCCUUCGGGUUGUAAAAAUCUUUUGUAUGGGAAGAAAAUGACAGUACCAUACGAAUAAGGACCGGCUAAUUACGUGCCAGCAGCCGCGGUAAUACGUAAGGUCCGAGCGUUGUCCGGAAUCAUUGGGCGUAAAGGGUACGUAGGCGGAUAAGCAAGUUAGAAGUGAAAUCCUAUAGCUCAACUAUAGUAAGCUUUUAAAACUGCUCAUCUUGAGGUAUGGAAGGGAAAGUGGAAUUCCUAGUGUAGCGGUGAAAUGCGCGGAUAUUAGGAGGAAUACCGGUGGCGAAGGCGACUUUCUGGCCAUAUACUGACGCUGAGGUACGAAAGCGUGGGUAGCAAACAGG